UACAGAGGGGGCAAGCGUUGUUCGGAAUUACUGGGCGUAAAGGGCCCGUAGGUGGCCAACUAAGUCGGACGUGAAAUCCCCAGGCUCAACUUGGGAACUGCGUCCGAUACUGGAUGGCUUGAAUUCGGGAGAGGGAUGCAGAAUUCCAGGUGUAGCGGUGAAAUGCGUAGAUAUCUGGAGGAAUACCGGUGGCGAAGGCGGCAUCCUGGACCGAGAUUGACACUGAUGAGCGAAAGCCAGGGGAGCAAACGGG
rnacentral:rRNA from 1 species